rnacentral:rRNA from 1 species
UACAGAGGGUGCGAGCGUUGUCCGGAAUCACUGGGCGUAAAGGGCGCGUAGGCGGCUUGAUAAGGUUGCGGUGAAAGCCCGGGGCUCAACCCCGGGUCGGCCGUGGCAACUGUCGAGCUGGAGCACUGUAGAGGCAGGUGGAAUUCCGGGUGUAGCGGUGGAAUGCGUAGAGAUCCGGAAGAACACCGGUGGCGAAGGCGGCCUGCUGGGCAGUGGCUGACGCUGAGGCGCGACAGCGUGGGGAGCAAACAGGAUUAGAGACCC